rnacentral:ncRNA from 1 species
UGUGGUGGAUUCCAUCACUUUCAAGUGUCUGCCUUAUCAACCUUCGAUGGUAGUCUAUGCGACUACCAUGGUGAUAACGGGUAACGGAGAAUCAGGGUUCGACUCCGGAGAGGGAGCCUGAGAAACGGCUACCACAUCCAAGGAAGGCAGCAGGCGCGCAAAUUACCCACUCCCAGCUUGGGGAGGUAGUGACGAAAAAUAACGAGACGAUUCUCGUUUGAGAAACGUUAUCGAAAUGAGUACGCUUUACACACGCUAACGAGUAGCAAUUGGAGGGCAAGUCUGGUGCCAGCAGCCGCGGUAAUUCCAGCUCCAAUAGCGUAUAUUAAAGUUGCUGCGGUUAAAACGCUCGUAGUUGAAUUGUGGUCUUAGACAACAGUCCCCCUACAAAGGUGUGGCACGGUUGCUCGAGAUCUUCAUUCGUGGUUGCUGUUGUUGCUCUUCAUUGAGUGUCAAUGGUGCCUCGAGAUUUUACUUUGAAAAAAUUAGAGUGCUCAAAGCAGGUUGUGAUGCCUGAAUAAUGGUGCAUGGAAUAAUAGAAUACGAUCUCGGUUCUAUUUUGUUGGUUUUCGAACCGGAGAUAAUGAUUGAAAGGAACAGACGGGGGCAUUCGUAUUGCUGCGUUAGAGGUGAAAUUCUUGGAUCGCAGCAAGAUGAACAAUUGCGAAAGCAUUUGCCAAGAAUGUUUUCAUUAAUCAAGAACGAAAGUUAGAGGUUCGAAGGCGAUCAGAUACCGCCCUAGUUCUAACGGUAAACUAUGCCAACCAGCGAUUCGCCGAAGUUCAUUUAAGACUCGGGCGAGCAGC